GGAGGCUUAGCUCAAGUGGUAGAGCACAUGCUUAGCAGGCAUGAGGUUCUGAGUUCUAUACCCAGUACCUCCA
rnacentral:tRNA from 1 species